rnacentral:lncRNA from 1 species
AUUAUCAGCAUCUCAUUAAAUACACAAUCUGCAAAAUGGAGGGCACUGCCCUGCUCAGUGAAAAGGGCUGCUUUCCUUUUUGAGGGGACACAGCCUGGGAAGAAGAGAGAAAGAGGCUGGGCACACAGCGCCGUGGGAGAGCAGCCCCAGAAAGGUCUCCUCCCUGGUAAAACGGAGCCAGUAACAGCACCUGCCUCACAGGGUUACUGUGAGAACUGACGGAGACACAGCUUGAGAAGAACUGAGCGUGCUUUCCAGGCGACAGCGGACGCUGAGGACGGCUAGCUCUUGUGUAGAUGAAGGCACCCAGCAGCUGCUCAACCUGCAACGGCUCAGUUCUGAGAACCAUGGACACAGGUGGGGCCUUUAAAAUCAGUCACGUUAAUACGGUCACACUUUAAACAGGCCACCCUAGGUGGGAAAAUGUCUUUCCAUAGAUCCUGCUCUUGAAACUCACAUUUUAUAGAAACAUACCAUGAAGGUCAACAAUGCCAUCCUACAAACAUGCCGCAGACACACGCCUGCUGUCCUCACUGGCCUGCUGUCCUCACUGGCCACAGCUGUGGCUGGCUAUGGGGCUGCUCCUGAAUGCUGUGCCUGGCGUGCAAGUGCAGUGGGGAGGAGUGUUUGUUGGAAGAUGCUGAAUGGGCAAGAGGCAGAGCUCCCAGAAUCAGAAGGAACGAAACUCACGUGGAGAAGCCCUGCGGCAGUGCCCGAAGGCCUUACUCCACCUCACUGUGCAGCGAGAGAAAAGGGCUGCCUUCAGUGGGGUUUUAGAAAAACAGGCUGCUCUCAGGGCUCCUGGGCCUCGGAUGCACGACAAACAUCAAUUACAGUUGAACUUCUAGUUCGUGGUGGGACAGUCGUGUUUCCAUGAUGUGGGUGGGACUGACUAGGGUCAGGUGUGAAUGUAGGAUGCACCAUCCUGAGGGCCAUAAAAGUUGCUUCCACCACAAACGGUUUCUACGCAUAGCCUUUCUUCUUGAUAGUUAUUGCUGGUAAGAGGGAAAGUGACUUGGUCUCUACACUAGCCACCUACACAGACAGGCAGGCAGACAGAGACAGGAACAUGGAGCAUGCAGAGAGGAUCACCUGCUGGCCGCCAUGUGCCCGACAGGGAGGUGGAGUAGGGGGAGGAGACAGGGUGAUCACUUUUUUGGGGCAGGUCCGAGAACACUCCUUUUCCCGUUGCUUUUACACCAACAGACACAAACAGAGAGAACAUCAUUCAAACAGUGGCCAUGUGGAAGCUGGUUCUGGG